AACGAACGCUUGCGGCAUGCCUAACACAUGUCAGUCGAACGAGACCUUCGGGUCUAGUGGCGCACGGGUGCGUAACGCGUGGGAAUCUGCCCUUGGGUUCGGAAUAACAGUUAGAAAUGACUGCUAAUACCGGAUGAUGACUUCGGUCCAAAGCUUUAUCGCCCAGGGAUGAGCCCGCGUAGGACUAGUUUGUUGGUGAGGUAAAAGCUCACCAAGGCGACGAUCCUUAGCUGGUCUGAGAGGAUGAUCAGCCACACUGGGACUGAGACACGGCCCAGACUCCUACGGGAGGCAGCAGUGGAGAAUAUACGACAAUGGGCGAAAGCCUGAUCCAGCAAUGCCGCGUGGGUGAUGAAGGCCUUAGGGUUGUAGAGCUCUUUUACCCGGGAUGAUAGUGACAGUACCGGGAGAAUAAGCCCCGGCUAACUCCGUGCCAGCAGCCGCCGUAAUAC
rnacentral:rRNA from 1 species